GAGGGUAUAGCUCAAGUGGUAGAGCACAUGCUUAGCAUGCACGAGGUCCUGGGUUCACCCCCCAGGAUCUCCA
rnacentral:tRNA from 1 species